GCGGGUGUAGUUCAGUGGUAGAAUGUCUCCUUGCCAAGGAGAAGAUCGCCGGUUCGAAUCCGGUCACCCGCU
rfam:Candidatus Buchananbacteria bacterium RIFCSPHIGHO2_02_FTLL_38_8 rifcsphigho2_02_scaffold_15631, whole genome shotgun sequence.